AGAACGAACGCUGGCGGCAGGCCUAACACAUGCAAGUCGAACGGGGUAGCAAUACUCUAGUGGCAGACGGGUGAGUAACACGUGGGAACCUUCCUUUUAGUAUGGAAUAGCCCGGCGAAAGCCGGAUUAAUACCGUAUACGCCCUAUGGGGGAAAGAUUUAUCGCUAAAAGAUGGGCCCGCGUAAGAUUAGCUAGUUGGUGAGGUAAUGGCUCACCAAGGCUACGAUCUUUAGCUGGUUUGAGAGAAUGAUCAGCCACACUGGAACUGAGACACGGUCCAGACUCCUACGGGAGGCAGCAGUGGGGAAUAUUGCCCAAUGGACGCAAGUCUGAGGCAGCGACGCCGCGUGGGUGAUGAAGGCCUUCGGGUCGUAAGCCCUUUUCUGCGUGACGAGACAAAGGACGGUAGCGCAGGAAAAGUCUCGGCUAACUACGUGCCAGCAGCCGC
rnacentral:rRNA from 1 species